GCCUGGGUGGCUUAGUCAGUUAAGCAUCUGACUUCGGCUCAGGUCAUGAUCUCACAGUUCAUGGGUUCCAGCCCCAUGUCGGGUU
rfam:Felis catus isolate Cinnamon breed Abyssinian chromosome C2, whole genome shotgun sequence.